rnacentral:rRNA from 1 species
ACCUACGGGGGGCUGCAGUGGGGAAUAUUGGACAAUGGGCGAAAGCCUGAUCCAGCAAUGCCGCGUGAGUGAUGAAGGCCUUAGGGUUGUAAAGCUCUUUUACCAGGGAUGAUAAUGACAGUACCUGGAGAAUAAGCUCCGGCUAACUCCGUGCCAGCAGCCGCGGUAAUACGGAGGGAGCUAGCGUUGUUCGGAAUUACUGGGCGUAAAGCGCACGUAGGCGGCGACUCAAGUCAGAGGUGAAAGCCCGGGGCUCAACCCCGGAACUGCCUUUGAAACUAGGUUGCUAGAAUCUUGGAGAGGCGAGUGGAAUUCCGAGUGUAGAGGUGAAAUUCGUAGAUAUUCGGAAGAACACCAGUGGCGAAGGCGACUCGCUGGACAAGUAUUGACGCUGAGGUGCGAAAGCGUGGGGAGCAAACAGGAUUAGAUACCCUUGUAGUCG